AAACCAGCACCUCAAGUGGUCAGGAUGAUUAUUGGGCCUAAAGCAUCCGUAGCCUGCUCUGUAAGUUUUCGGUUAAAUCUAUGUGCUCAACGCAUGGGCUGCCGAAAAUACUGCAUAGCUAGGGAGUGGGAGAGGUAGACGGUACUCAGUAGGAAGGGGUAAAAUCCUUUGAUCUAUUGAUGACCACCUGUGGCGAAGGCGGUCUACCAGAACACGUUCGACGGUGAGGGAUGAAAGCUGGGGGAGCAAACCGGAUUAGAAACCCGGGUAGUCC
rnacentral:rRNA from 1 species